CGUUGCGGCGGCAUGUGCAAAAUGCAAAUGGAAAACUAGGACACGACAGACUUCAAAAAUAAGGUCAUGAAGUUUUGAAAUAUUGGUAGCAUAAAGGAGGAAGUCAGAGUAAGGCAAAACGAUGGAGCAAGGAGUGGCCCGUAUUUUGGCAGCAUCAUCGGAGAGAGAAGAACUUGAGUAAGUUCCUCCCCAGCAUGAGGUUAUUCAAAGACUAGCUGGUGUAAUAAGAGAAAACCCACUUCCAGUGAGCACCCAAGAGACUGUGACUCAGAUGUGACGAGGAACAAGAACAGUGGAUGGAGAAAACCGCAGUUGUUCAAGGGGAUAGCAGCGUGGUUGGUCCCCUGCCUG